AAAAACAAUGCUAGAAACCCUGGAGUUGAUCACAUGUGCAAGGGCCGUGGUGCAAAGGAUUGAAGAAAAAGGACUCAGGACUCAGGCUCAACAGAAAGGGCACUGUAUUUGAAGCCAGACGACCCACCUUGAGAGGUGGCUCCACUGUUGGCUCUGUGACUUUGGGUUGCUGAUAUUGGGGGAAGCCAGCUGCUAUGCUACAAGGCAGCCCGUGGGGAAGCCACCAUGAGUGAGCUUGGAAGAGGUCUUCUGAGGCCCACCAAAAGCCAUGUGAAUGAGCUUGGCAGUAAAGCCACUUCCAGUGGAACCUCAAGGUGACUGCAGCCUCUGCCAACAUCUUAACUGUAGCCUGGAGAGAAAUCCUGAGCCAGAA